CCUACGGGUGGCAGCAGUGGGGAAUAUUGGACAAUGGGGGCAACCCUGAUCCAGCCAUGCCGCGUGUGUGAAGAAGGCCCUCGGGUUGUAAAGCACUUUCAGUGAGGAAGAACGCCUGGUGGUUAAUACCCAUCAGGAAAGACAUCACUCACAGAAGAAGCACCGGCUAACUCCGUGCCAGCAGCCGCGGUAAUACGGAGGGUGCGAGCGUUAAUCGGAAUUACUGGGCGUAAAGCGCGCGUAGGUGGCUUGAUAAGCCGGUUGUGAAAGCCCCGGGCGCAACCUGGGAACGGCAUCCGGAACUGUCAAGCUAGAGUGCAGGAGAGGAAGGUAGAAUUCCCGGUGUAGCGGUGAAAUGCGUAGAGAUCGGGAGGAAUACCAGUGGCGAAGGCGGCCUUCUGGACUGACACUGACACUGAGGUGCGAAAGCGUGGGUAGCAAACAGGAUUAGAUACCCGUGUAGUC
rnacentral:rRNA from 1 species